rnacentral:rRNA from 1 species
GAUGAACGCUGGCGGCGUGCCUAAUACAUGCAAGUCGAGCGAACAGACGAGGAGCUUUCUCCUCUGACGUUAGCGGCGGACGGGUGAGUAACACGUGGAUAACCUACCUAUAAGACUGGGAUACCUUCGGGAACCCGGAGCUAAUACCGGAUAAUAUAUUGAACCGCAUGGUUCAAUAGUGAAAGACGGUUUUGCUGUCACUUAUAGAUGGUACCGGGCCGCAUAAGUAAGUGGGCAAGGUAACGGCUUACCAAGGCGACGAUGCGUAGCCGACCUGAGGGGGUGAUCGGCCACACGGGAACUAGGACACGGCCCAAACCCCACAGGAAGCAGGAGGGAGGAAUACUGCAGCAAGGGGCGAAGGCUUGACGGGGCAACGCCGCGGGGGGAAUGAAGGUUUUCGGAUCGUAAAACUCUGUUGUUAGGGAAGAACAAAUGUGAAAGUAACUAUGCACGUCUGAACGGAACCAAAGCAGAAGGCCACGGCAACCUACGU